UACGGAGGGGGCUAGCGUUGUUCGGAAUUACUGGGCGUAAAGCGCACGUAGGCGGCUUUGUAAGUUAGAGGUGAAAGCCCGGGGCUCAACUCCGGAACUGCCAUUGAAACUGUUUAGCUUGAGGACGAGAGAGGUGAGUGGAAUUCCCAGUGUAGAGGUGAAAUUCGUAGAUAUUGGGAAGAACACCGGUGGCGAAGGCGGCUCACUGGCUCGUUUCUGACGCUCAGGCGCGACAGCGUGGGGAUCAAACAGG
rnacentral:rRNA from 1 species